AGGACUAACGCUGGCGGCGUGCCUAACACAUGCAAGUCGAACGAAGUAGCAAUACUUAGUGGCAGACGGGUGAGUAACACGUAGUCAACCUGCCCUUCAAUGGGGGAUAACUAGCCGAAAGGUUAGCUAAUACCGCAUACGAUCUCUGAGUGGCAUCACUCGGCGAUGAAAGGAGUAAUCCGUUGAAGGAGGGGACUGCGUCCCAUUAGUUAGUUGGUGGGGUAAUGGCCUACCAAGACUCCGAUGGGUAGCUGGCUUGAGAGAGCGACCAGCCACACUGGAACUGAGACACGGUCCAGACUCCUACGGGAGGCAGCAGUGAGGAAUUUUCCGCAAUGGGGGAAACCCUGACGGAGCGACGCCGCGUGUGGGAAGAAGGCCUUCGGGUCGUAAACCACUGUCGAGGGGGACGAUAUUGACGGUACCCCUGGAGGAGCCCCGGCUAACUACGUGCCAGCAGCCGC
rnacentral:rRNA from 1 species